GGGUCGAUAGCUCAGCUGGGAGAGCGUCAGACUGAAGUAAAACUUCAAGUUUCAUGAAUUCCAUCUGGAAUAUCUGAAGGUCACCGGUUCGAUCCCGGUUCGACCCA